AUUUGUAACCUGUCACGGCGCUGGUGGGAAUGUAGCAGUGAGGACUAACUGGAAGUCCAGCUUUCCAGGAGAACCUUCUCAUGAGCACUGCUCACCUGCUUUGUGUAGUCUAAAGUGAGAAAUCACUUCAGCCUCAGCAGGGGCUGCAUCAUCCCCCAGGGAAGAGCCACAGCUGGGCGAGGACUGCCGCAAGGCAUUUACAAGGAGAUGGUGCCACGGAGACUAACACAGCCUGGGAAACGGAAACACGGGGCUUUGGCCAGAACACCCUCUUUCAAGAAAGUUCUUUGUGACCUUAAGGAAGGUUUAAGUCUCUGUAUUUUUGCAUGUACUAGAUUUCUCCUUUUAAAAAAGAUUCAGUUAUGAAUUCAGGCAUCUCAAGUUAAUCCUUGAGAAUUAAAUCAAUUUAAUUAAUUAUUUGUAAAAAUGUCCUCAGGUUCUUUACAUGAAAGGAGUAUGAUCUUCACAGCAUUCUGCUUGUAAUUUCCAGAGCAGUUGAUGUUAUUGUGUUGUAUUUUGCUGAUUGACUUUGUGUAAUGUGGAAGGUUCUUUAUAGAGAGUCUGGGAAAGAGUUGAGGUGGCCGAAAGUGAGCGGGCUGUAUUCUUCCCACGCUGGCUCACAGCCUCUCAGGAGUUGAUCAUGGAGCUGGGUGAUGGCCACUGUCUUCGCUUUCCCAGUUUCUGGUUUUGUGGGUUAAAGCUUUCAUCCUCCUACUUUGGAAGCCUAUGGACUUCAUCUGUCAUGCAAUGUGUAAAUCAAGACCCCAACAGGCAGCUGUCUGCUUCUAUUAGCUUUCACGACACAGGUGACACUGCUUGGAAGGCCUGCCUCUUUCUUUAAGUCAGUUUUUAAUAUGAAAUGACACCAAGCUGUUUCUCAAAAGCCAAACAGGCUAAGAAUAGUAAAGAAAAAUCAUAAUCUAACAGUAUUAUAAUUCAAUAACUAUCAUAUUAAAAUGAUAGCAUAAAGCCCAAGCUUUGCAAUGUGUGGGGGAAGUUGAGUGAGAAACUCACCGUGAAAUUCAUCUGUGUAUUAGUCGGAGAAAUCAACGCUGGCAGCUGAAGCAGGCAAAUCCACCAAGGCUUUUAACCCAAUGAAGGUUUAUUUCUCAUUCAGGCAAAGUCCAGUAAGUGCACAAUUUGGGCCUGUAGGUUGGCUGUGGCAGGGGAAAAGACGAAGAAAGCACAGUGGCUGUUAAAUUCUAUUGGCCAGAACCAGUCCCGUGACCAUGAUCUAUUUGCAAGGGAGAUGAGGAGAUGAGAAUGAACGCAUGUACUGGAUGCAUAUGGUUCCUCUACCAACGUAAGAUGGAUUUGUACUGUUGUUAGUCAGAAAUGAAACUCAAAACUGAUUUAGAUGAUGGAAUUAUGAAGAAUUUGAAUGUGGGCCUAACACAAGAAUCACAUUUCCAAUCCUAGUGUCUCAUAGAGGAUCAAAAAACAGUGUAUGGAAGACACAUGACAUGAGCAUUUAGAGCAUUGGCUUUGGUUUGGGAGGAAGCCAGGGCUAAAUACCGGCUCUAUUAUUCACCUUGUGUGAGCUUGAUUAACUGUAUUCAACACUUUGAGUCCUUAUUGCUUUGUCUGUAAAAUAGGGAAAAUAGUAAACCCCCCUUAUAGGUUUUUUUGAGUAGUCAUUGCUAUUACUCUUACCACCACCACUGCCCCGGGAACUUGUGUUUGUAAUACGAUUUUUGGUGGAUCUGAAGCUGUGGGUUCAACCUCCUUCGUGUACACCGGCUGCCCUCCUUCACACAUGCAUGCACGUGGCAAAUAUUUAUCAAGUGCUUAGUGAAUGCUCAGCCUGUGUUACCAUUUUGCCUACGUUAUUUAAUUCUCACUUUCUGUUAUCACCCCAUUUUGCAGACGAGGAAAACAAGGCUGGGAGAAAGCAAAAGAGCCACUUGUUUAAGGUUACACAGCUGAAAAAUGAAUGAGGUGGGGUUCGAGUCCAGAGUGCACAUUCCCCAUCACCCCUUAACAAAAAGCCAUGUUUUCCAGGAGACUGCAGAGGAGAAUGGGCAGGUGGUCACAACUGCAGGGCUGUCUCAGGCUGAGUACAGUGGAGGGGCAUGGGCUUACUGUUGGUGGCGAGGGCCUUGGAAAUGGCUUCCUGGAGGAGAUGGCAUUUAUCCAGGUAGACAAGAUGUGUGUGUGUGUGUGUGUGUGUGUGAGAUCAUGAAGAAGAAAUAAUGUGCAAAGGCCUGGUCAUAAAAUACUUUUCCUCUGCAAACUGUGGAUGGCAGUUCACUGUGUUUCUCACCACUGGCCUGGUCACUGCUUAUCCCAUAUGCACGGAAGAAUUACUUUUUCUCUUUUUUCCUUUCUAUAAAUUCUAAUAGAAUUUCCUUUAAUGCAUUAAAAAAGCAACUAGCAUGUUAAACCCAUGAUAUCAUAUAUCCUCUGUUUCAGGAUGCAACUAAAGUGAAUGUAAAGGUGAAGAGGGUAAAUCAGUGCAGGUGGCAGCACGGGGAAAACCGGGAACCGUCAAUAUAGCAAAGGUGGGAAGCCUAGGGAGCUGAAGUUUCAGGAACCCUGGGACAGAGUGUCUCCCUGCAUUCCAGCUUAGAAGUGCUGCUCUUCAAGACAGAGUGUCACCAGCUCCAUUUGUCCAUAAAGCCACAUUGUUCCAAGGGAAGGCAAUGUCGUUCUGCCACUGCUCGCCAUGAAAAGAUGGUGUGCCACGUCAGGAACUGUGGGGCCAGAAGACGGUGUGCCACGUCAGGAACUGUGGGGCCAGAGGACGGUGUGCCACGUCAGGAACUGUGGGGCCAGAGGACGGUGUGCCACGUCAGGAACUGUGGGGCCAGAGGACGGUCAGGGGCCAGAGCUUGUGCUCGGGAGGAAGGGUCACGAGGCAAAAGGUCACAAAGGUAGCCAGGAAAGUUCUAAAUUAGCCUUGGAAACAAGCCAGGCCCCGAGCAGAGACCCAGAGUUCAGGAAUGUUCCCUGGCCCUGCCCUUGAAGUCUCUGCUCAGAGCCUCAGAGCCGUGGCCACCACGGAGGGUGGCUAAAAAUACCUUGGUCAGGGGCCUAGAGAUUGCAUUUAGGAGAGUGCUUUCCAGAGGCAGCCCGGGGAGAGCUGACAGCGGUGGGGGUGCCAGGGCCCCCACCAGCUGCAAAGGUCAGCCAGCUCCCAGCUGCCUUCAGAUGGGUGUUUCUGCCAGUUCUCCUUUAGUCUUCAGGCUCAAAUGAAAGGCCACUUUCAGCAAGUUUUCCUGACAUUGUCAGAGACUGGAGCCAAGGCCCUGUCUGUUUUACUUUCUGAAAGAGCCAGUCUGAGAGAUGGAUGGGUUGGUGACUGAACACCACAAACAACAGCAGUGGGCUUUAACCUGACGUGGAGACUCCAACACAGAUGGGGAAGGCUAGUGGCUCAGAAGGCCUGACACGGACAGGAUCAAAGCUCUAACAGCUCCAAGUUGGACUCCUUCCCGUCCCAGAUCCGAGCUCUUUGGUUCUCCUUCGCAGAGGGCCUUUGCACAAGCUUUUCCCACAGCCUGCAACACCUACCCUUCUUUCCUACACUUGACUUGUUCCCAGAAAUUCGUCAUCCUGUCUUAAAUGUCACCUUCAGAGAGGCCUUCUUCAGCCCAGAUACAUAGGGCUGUUGAAUGUUGCAUGGACCUGUGUCCGGCACAGAGAAUGUGCUUGGUUUAGUAGAGUAAUUAAUAUAAGCGGCAGCAGUGAAUAACCCAGACAAUGUCAAUGGCUUAUCUUGGAAAGAUUUCUUACUUUUUUUUUUUUUUUUUUUCUUGAGACAGAGUCUCACUCUUGUCACCCAGUUUGGAGUGCAA